rnacentral:rRNA from 1 species
GAUGAACGCUCGCUACAGGCUUAACACAUGCAAGUCGAGGGACCGGCGCACGGGGGAGUAACACGUAUCACACCUGCCCUUUACUAGGUGAUCGCCUUUCGAACGAACGAUUAAUACCCGACAUAACGUAAGGGGAUGCGUUCCAUUAGGUUGUUGGUGAGGUAACGGCUCACCAAGCCUUCGCGGUCUAGGGGUUCUGAGAGGAAGGGCCUCCACAUUGGAACUGAGACACGGUCCAAACUCGUACGGUAGGCAGCGGUGAGGAAUAUUGGGCAAUGGGCGCUAGACUGAACCAGCCAAGUAGCGUGAAGGAGGAAGGCUUAGGGGUCGUAAACUUCUUUUAUAUAAGAAUAGUUAUUAGAUGAAUAAGGAGCGGCUAACUCCGUGCCAGCAGCCGCGGUAAUAC